UGGGGAAUUUUGGACAAUGGGCGAAAGCCUGAUCCAGCAAUGCCGCGUGAGUGAAGAAGGCCUUCGGGUUGUAAAGCUCUUUUGUCAGGGAAGAAACGGUGAAAGCUAAUAUCUUUUGCUAAUGACGGUACCUGAAGAAUAAGCACCGGCUAACUACGUGCCAGCAGCCGCGGUAAUACGUAGGGUGCAAGCGUUAAUCGGAAUUACUGGGCGUAAAGCGUGCGCAGGCGGUUUUGUAGGUCUGAUGUGAAAUCCCCGGGCUCAACCUGGGAAUUGCAUUGGAGACUGCAAGGCUAGAAUCUGGCAGAGGGGGGUAGAAUUCCACGUGUAGCAGUGAAAUGCGUAGAUAUGUGGAGGAACACCGAUGGCGAAGGCAGCCCCCUGGGUCAAGAUUGACGCUCAUGCACGAAAGCGUGGGGAGCAAACAGGAUUAGAUACCCUGGUAGUCCACGCCCUAAACGAUGUCUACUAGUUGUCGGGUCUUAAUUGACUUGGUAACGCAGCUAACGCGUGAAGUAGACCGCCUGGGGAGUACGUCGCAAGAUUAAAACUCAAAUGAAUUGACGGGGUCAUAGCUGUUUCCU
rnacentral:rRNA from 1 species